GAAAGCAACCGCCUGCAACAGAUCUCCUUUCCACGCGGAUGAUGCAUUCGCUAAUCCGCGAGAAACAAUCCCGGGCGCGCUACCGUGCCGCGUAAAGAGAAACCACCUUAAUGCGACACUGCGGACGAGUAUGAUUCUGGCUGGAUCAGACCACUUCUUGGCGGUACCUGUGGAAGCGACUGCAGUUUUGGGUGCCGUUGCCGGUUUCGUAGUGCUCCUGCUAGCUCUCUUUCUUUACCUGUCCCGGAAGUGGUGCUUCACGCCGCCCUCAUCCACCACGCUCUUCGGCGGAGUCUGUGUGCCUCUCUGUGAGUCCACCAACAGCUCCACAUCUCAAAUCUCGAAAAAUAUAGGCAAGGCAUUUUCUUAUUCGGAUCCAGAAACAAGUUCCGAUUCAGAGGAAGACGCUCUCCGACGAUUAAAUUCGCGUUCACUUCCUCCGCCGGAUACGUUGACUAUCCAAGCGGAGGACGGACCAACGACUAUCUUAGAUGCUGGGACCACUUCCAGUAGCUGCACUGAGGAACACUCUCCAGCAGAUCAACAACAGUGUGUGGUGGAAGUUGGAGCUUCUAGUAUUAUACUCGAUAAUCGAGAGCAGGAGAUACAAGUUGAGCAAAAUGACUCUACGACCAAUGACGUCAUCACAACGAUGGGUACAGUGGCUACCGAGGAAGUUGGUAGUCUGGAAGUCGCUUUCCUAUAUGAUGCUCCAAUGCGUGAGAUGACAGUUCACGUCUUACAGGGGCGGAAUUAUCCUCCUGGCAUUAAUGGCAGUCAGGUACGAUUAGUCCUGCUACCAUCAAAAAAACAAAGACGUAAGACACGAGUUCGACAAGGGACAUCUCCGCAAUACAUGGAGAGUUUUUUGCUUCCUCGUGUAAAUCCAGAGGAUGUAAAUGCAAUGGGAGUACGGCUCAGAGUAUAUCUGUGGGGUGGCAGAAUGAUGCGUCGGGAAAGACUGCUGGGCGAAGCCAGAGUGUCUUUCGAUCACAUUAAUCUCCAGUUGGAAACGACCCUAUGGUUAACUCUUCAACCCCCACUUUCUUCCUCGGCACAGGAUUGGGGAACCACCAGCAGUCUAACUCGUAGCGAUUCCACGGGAUCCCAACAGUCGGUCCAAUCGUAUGCUUCUCCGGCUGUACCACCUUACGGCAGCAGCAUGAAGGGAGGCAGUGUUGCUGAAAUCCUAAUCGGUUUGGCGUACAACGGCACGACAGGUCGCUUAUCAGUUGAAAUAAUCAAGGGUUCCCAUUUCCGUGGUGGAGGCGGAAACGAUACGAAACCUCCUGAUACUUACGUCAAAUUGGCUCUUGUUGAUACCAAUAAUCAUGAAAUGGGCCGAUCUAAGACCGGUUUGAAACGUGCCCAACCGAAUCCCCUCUAUAAGGAGACUUUUAUAUUUCAGGUCGCGUUGUUUCAAUUGGGAGACGUGACACUCUACCUCUCUGUAUACAAUCGUCGACGAGGUGGAAUGGGUAGGAAAGGGCGAGAAAUGAUCGGCUGGCUUUGUUUGGGUCUGAAUAGCUCCGGAUCUGAGGAGCUACAGCAUUGGAACGAUAUGCGGAUAGCGAGACAACCGAUACAAGUGCAACGCUGGCAUUCGCUAUUGCGUCCUUGAGGUGUCUUCGUAUCCAGUGAUUAAACUAGUUUUUUCACAAAGCAUGCAAAUAUCUCUACCUCCGACUUUGAUGGCCGUGGAUAUGUUGUGGAGCAGUUAAAAAAAUGAGGGGGAUAUUUUUAUUAAAAUUUACAUUGCCUGUUUGCAGGUAAAUUUAAUUCUGAACAUCAAAAUUGUAAGGAUAUUCGAAGAAAGGGUCUCAAACUUGAAGGAUGUUCACUAGAGAAACAAGAAAUGAUUAUCAUAGUUUAAAAAAAUUAACUUUAUGUCAUAGAUAGACACGAUUUCUUGUUUUGACAAUAUAGAUGAUUCACGUUUUAUUUUAUAUAGGUAGCCAGAUAUUGCUUUUUACUUAAAUUGAUCCUUGUUAUUCUA
rnacentral:misc_RNA from 1 species